ACUACGGGCGGCAGCAGUGGGGAAUAUUGCACAAUGGGGGAAACCCUGAUGCAGCAACGCCGCGUGAGUGAAGAAGUAUUUCGGUAUGUAAAGCUCUAUCAGCAGGGAAGAAGAUGACGGUACCUGAGUAAGAAGCCCCGGCUAACUACGUGCCAGCAGCCGCGGUAAGACGUAGGGGGCAAGCUUUAUCCGGAUUUACUGGGGUUAAAGGGAGCGUAGACGGUGAGACAAGUCUGAAGGGAAAGCCCGGGGCUCAACCCCGGGACUGGUUUGGAAACUGCCUGACUGGAGUGCUGGAGAGGCAAGCGGAAUUACUAGUGUAGCGGUGAAAGGCGUAGAUAUUAGGAAGAACACCAGUGGCGAAGGCGGCUUGCUGGACAGUAACUGACGUUGAGGCUCGAAAGCGUGGGGAGCAAACAGGAUUAGAUACCCGAGUAGUC
rnacentral:rRNA from 1 species